GCCCUGUUCCUGAACUUUCAGCUCAUCAGAGGCAUCCUUGCCCAACCUGGCUCCUAUUGAUCUUGUCAAACACUGGGAAUGAUGGGAGAAGGUGGCAAACCAAGGACUUCCUCCCCACCAGGAAUCCACACCCCUCUCCCACCUGAGACGGGAGACGAGCCAAAGUCAAAUUCUCAGUUAGCCAAGCGUGGGCUUCGCGAAACCAGAGUCAGAUUGGAAGAAGAUGAGCUGCUCUUGAAGUCCUUGCCCAGCACAGCCCUGCACGCCCUCCUGAGCCACCUCCUGGCAGUGGGGCUGAGAUGUACAAGCUCCUCCCCUCUGUCCUCGCCUCAUCUCGGGUUCCAGCCCACCACCAUCUGGCUGUGUCCACUUGCCCAGAACUGCACAGCUACCAAAGGGCACAGCUGGAACUAAGGGUCACUAAUGACAACCAUAUUGGCACUUGUAAACGGUACUGGACCCCUGCUUCCAAGACAAACCACCGUGCAAGCUCUGUGUCCACUUACCUUGCAUUAUAUCUCAAUGCUUAGAAACCUAUGAGACUGCAUCAAUCAAUAUUCCCAUUCUACAGACGAGGAGAUGGAACGUCGGGGAGCUGCCAGGAGGCUCAGAAUUGCCCUGAUGUGCUCCCACGGCGGAGGUGUUCUGUCGCUGCCUGUCACCGGCUUAUUUACUGGAGUUUCCUUGGAAGGAGGAGAAACAGGUGAUGUGACAGGACCGGGAGACCGAUCAUAAAAACCUGGUGGGAGCGAGGUCUCCCUGAAGUGAUACUGGCCAUAUGUGGACACAUGCAAGCUUCAGGGAAGGCAUGUGAGACUCGCUAAGCUGUGCUCUCCCAACUUUGGAAUGUCGUGUGGUUUUCCCAUAAUAGAAAGCUUUAAAAGUGAUAAUAAACAAGCCUUCUAGAACCUUACUGCCUGCCUUCAACAACUUCUCUCCUCCCUCUCCCUCCCCUCUCCCCUCCUCCCAAGCAACCUUAGGCUUGCCUUUUGUGUUUCUUCAUUUAAAACACAAAUGACAGUCUUAUAAACCUAACUGAAUUGGAUAUGAGGACAUGAAUAAAUGUACAUGAAUCUUUAUACCAGAACGCAAAACAUGUGCUCAAUCAAGGUCAUUACCCAGAAGUAGUAAUGCUGAGGUGGUGACUUCAAACCAUCCUAGACGUGGCUUUGGAAACUGCCUUGUGCCUCCCUGGGUUCCCUAAUGCCCUG